UGCAGUCGAGCGGACAGAAGGGAGCUUGCUCCCGGAUGUUAGCGGCGGACGGGUGAGUAACACGUGGGUAACCUGCCUGUAAGACUGGGAUAACUCCGGGAAACCGGAGCUAAUACCGGAUAGUUCCUUGAACCGCAUGGUUCAAGGAUGAAAGACGGUUUCGGCUGUCACUUACAGAUGGACCCGCGGCGCAUUAGCUAGUUGGUGGGGUAAUGGCUCACCAAGGCGACGAUGCGUAGCCGACCUGAGAGGGUGAUCGGCCACACUGGGACUGAGACACGGCCCAGACUCCUACGGGAGGCAGCAGUAGGGAAUCUUCCGCAAUGGACGAAAGUCUGACGGAGCAACGCCGCGUGAGUGAUGAAGGUUUUCGGAUCGUAAAGCUCUGUUGUUAGGGAAGAACAAGUGCGAGAGUAACUGCUCGCACCUUGACGGUACCUAACCAGAAAGCCACGGCUAACUACGUGCCAGCAGCCGCGGUAAUACGUAGGUGGCAAGCGUUGUCCGGAAUUAUUGGGCGUAAAGGGCUCGCAGGCGGUUUCUUAAGUCUGAUGUGAAAGCCCCCGGCUCAACCGGGGAGGGUCAUUGGAAACUGGGAAACUUGAGUGCAGAAGAGGAGAGUGGAAUUCCACGUGUAGCGGUGAAAUGCGUAGAGAUGUGGAGGAACACCAGUGGCGAAGGCGACUCUCUGGUCUGUAACUGACGCUGAGGAGCGAAAGCGUGGGGAGCGAACAGGAUUAGAUACCCUGGUAGUCCACGCCGUAAACGAUGAGUGCUAAGUGUUAGGGGGUUUCCGCCCCUUAGUGCUGCAGCUAACGCAUUAAGCACUCCGCCUGGGGAGUACGGUCGCAAGACUGGAACUCAAAGGAAUAUAGAGACGGGCCGCGCACAGCGGCGGAGCAUGUUGUGUUUUAGAAGCAG
rnacentral:rRNA from 1 species